UACGUAGGAUGCGAGCGUUAUCCGGAUUUAUUGGGUUUAAAGGGUGCGUAGGCGGGCUUUUAAGUCAGCGGUAAAAAUUCGGGGCUCAACCCCGUCCGGCCGUUGAAACUGGGGGCCUUGAGUGGGCGAGAAGAAGGCGGAAUGCGUGGUGUAGCGGUGAAAUGCAUAGAUAUCACGCAGAACCCCGAUUGCGAAGGCAGCCUUCCGGCGCCCUACUGACGCUGAGGCACGAAAGUGCGGGGAUCGAACAGG
rnacentral:rRNA from 1 species